UUCCUAACAUGCACGAUCACAACUUUCUAGCCACCGAUGGAUCCAAGAGUAAAGAGAAAUAAAGAACCAAAGGUUAUAUCUGGAAGCUGUUAGAGAAGAAACCGAGUUAGAGUGAGAGGAGAGAGGUUAGAGGAGGUCUGAUUGCCAGAGCCAGAGAUGCCAAGACCACGGGAUGUCAUGGGAAGAGAUGAGGGAUCACAUAAGAGAGAAACGGUGGUUCCUGAUGAGCCGGACCACA
rnacentral:lncRNA from 1 species